GAUGCGGUGAUGCCCAACAAGUCCCACAAGUCCCGCACGCCUCGACUUACUCCGUCCCCAUCCCCUCCACGCUGUCGCCAUCGCCGAGCCCGUCCGCGCCGCCGCCGCCGCCGAGCCCUUCGACGACGCUCGAUCCGGCUGCGAGGAGGCUCGAUGCGGCGCCCCACGACGUUGGUGCCCGAGGAGCGGGUGGCAGGCGGGGAGGCACCGAGGGCGAAGUCUGUCGCGUCCUCGGGAUCGGCGGUGAAGGUGGCCGGAUCCGACUGGAGCGCGCGAAGCUGCGCGUCGAAGUGGCUGUACCGGAGGUGGAGCUGGGCUAGGAGUUGCCGCCGCCGGACGGGGUCUGAGCAUCGGCGUCGAUGGCGAGAAGGGGCGUCACGGCGGUGGGCCCAGCACUCCUUCCCCGUCUCCGCCUCCAAGGGUUCCCAUUACUGAAAUUGAAAUUGUUUUUGUCUAAACAUUGUCUCUAUAUGAGAUCAUUAUUUCAUAUUGUAAAUUGGAAAAAAAAAACUCCCUUACCUGUAAUUGAAACAGCUUUUGGUUGUUUUCUUCUACGGUUGCAGGAGACUAGGACAGAUUUAAGAAAUGUGACCUGCUACCAGCUCAAGCAAUCUACUGAGGAAAACAAAGGUUCGCUGCUCAAGUAUAAAGGAAUUUCAGGACCAAACUGGUUAUGUGAUUAUAUUAGGGUACGGCAUGGGAGACACACAUUCCAUGAUGUUUUUUUCCUGAAUAAAGUGUUCUUUAAAAAAACAGCUGAAAAAUGGAUAUAUAAAGAACGCUCAAUAGUUAGCUCAUAGCAGAAAUCAUACAAAAAGUUUAACUCAGUUAUUUAUCUUAAAUAUUCAUUAAAGUAUCUAACUUAGGUGUGAUUUGAAUAGCUCAUCUUAAUUCUUAUUAUUUUUCUUUUCCUAUAGUUCUUUAUUAAUGUUUGUGGAAAGAAAUUAUUAAUAAAAGAGGAAUUUGAAUGCCACAAGUAAAAGAAUUGAUUGAUUUUGCAUAUCGUAAAGGAGAUAUUUAUGUCUAUGAUUUUUUUUACAAUUUAUUGUGAAAAACAUUUAAAACUAUAUAACCUAUUACAUGCUAUUCAAUUUUUAAUAACACAAUAGCAUAUAUAAGAAUUAGGUUAAAAGCUGUUAAGUAAAUAUAAACAAAUUUCAUAUGUAUUUUUUAAUAUAAUAUUUUAUUUGGUUUUGUAAUAGUAUUAUAUUUGCUGGAAUUCUGAAUAUAAUGCUGAAAUAUCAGAUGUGUUAUCGAGAACAAAUAGAGUAAGAUUUUUCCAUAAAAUUACUAUGUGUCAUUUAUCAAUAAAUGUUAAAUUUUAGAAAAGCUUAGUUACUUUCGUAUCAUGCUUCUUUAGAUAUCACAUUAAAAAAUAUUAGUAUAUGUAUGUGGAAAAUAUCGUGAGAGCAGAAGUAUUAAUGGACAGUUUGAAAGUAAAAACAUAUUAAGUUUGAAUAUGACCAUAUUUGAGUUUGAUUCAAGUAUUAUGUAAGUUAAACUUUAUUGCAUCAAUUUACAUCAAUGAUUUCGUAAAACUUUAUGCUAUCUUUAUUUGCUAUUAUAAGUUGUUACUAAAUAUAGUAUGAAGUUUUGCGAAAUCGUUACUGUAAAUCGGUACAGUAAAGUUGACCUAUAUAAUGCUCGAGUAAAAACAAUCAUAGUCAUUCAAAAUUAGUAUGUCUUUACUUUUAAACUAUUCAUUAAAACUUUUUCCUUCUCAAUGUUUUCCACAUACAAAGACUAAUAUUUUAUGAAUGUAAUAUCCAGAGAAACGUGAUAAAUAAUAACUGCGGUUUAAAGAGAUUUAACAUUUAUAAACAACUGAAACAAACAAACUUUGUGGAAAAGGUUACCUCUAUUUGUGCUCGGCAACAUAUCUAAUGUUUCAGCAUCACAUUCGGCUUUCCUGUAAAUAUAAUUCUAUCUGAGAGAACCAAAUAAAAUAUUAUAUUAAAGAAUACAUAUGAUGUUUAUUUGUAUCCUAACAAUCCUUAACCGAGGUUUUAUAUAUUUUGUUGAGUCAUUUAAAAUUAGAUAGUAUGCAAUAUAUUUUUUAGGUUUUAAAGGUUUUUCACCAUAAGUUGAAAAAAAUCAGCCUGGAUUCCUCCUUUAUGACAUGCAGAAUCAAUCAACUUUUUUACAGUUGUGACAUUCAGAUUUUUCUUGCAUUGAUAGUUUCUUUCCACAAACAUGAACAAAAAAACUGUAGGGAAAUAAAAACAAUAAGAAUCAAGAUGUGCUGUUAAACCUGAGUUAAAUAUUUUGAUUAAUAUUCAAGAUAAACAUCUGAGUUAAACUCUUUGCAUCAUUUCUGUUAUGUGCUACCUGUUCAGUCUUCUUUCCAUUUCCAUUUCUAGUUGGUUUUUUAAGAACACUUGAUUCAGGAGAAUUAUCAUAGAAGAGAGUUAUGAAGAUGAAAAUAUGGUUCUUCUAUUGUUUUUUUCUCGAGCUACUGAAUAUUGUCCAAGACUAUCCAGCCCCAAUGGAUCAUGUGAGCUAUCUGUAUUUUGGUAGUUGCUUGUAUACUUAAGCUGUGGUGCUUUAGUAUAGAUGUUUGGCAAUUGGAUUAAAUCCAGUGUCUUCCCUUCCCUUCCCCAAUGGACAUGUGAGAAAGGUGCUAUUGCCGGAUGGCUACAGUGCCGGAUGAGCCGGGAUAGAUAUUAUCCAAUAGGACUGUCUAGGUUGUUGGCCACUGCAGUAAGGGCAACGGCCACAAGGACGGGCAUGGAGGGGCUGAAGGAGUUGGGCUGAGUAGCUUCUCUGACUGCUUCAUGGAGCCGGCGGUGAAGGUCGCCCCACAAGCUCUCAUGGCGACAGCGCAUUGGACUGGCGACGAGGACGACGGUGACUAGCGACAUAAGCCGCUUAUUCUCACCGAUGACGUGCCAACUGCAUCAGCAGCAGCGCCUGCGGACUUGGUGGCGCCACUGGCCUCCAUGAAUGGGCUCAUCCACCAUGCUGAUCCGUGUGGGUGUCUACUGGCCAACAAGAAGGUGAUUAGCUGAAAAAAAACCUGACUAUAUAAGUAUAUAGCUAGUUCCUUUUUUCAGUUUUAUGCUGUCGUAUCGUGUCAUUCGUAUGUUGUUUGCACCUGAUUUUUCAUUGCAAACGUGGAUUGUUUUAUUUGCUCUGUCGACCAGAAAAACCUGAUUUGUCACUCGAAUGUUUGACGGGGUUUGCUGACAUUUAUGUUUGCUCUCUUCUUUUACUC